rnacentral:rRNA from 1 species
GAUGAACGCUAGCGGCAGGCCUAACACAUGCAAGUCGAGGGGUAGUUACUUUCGGGUAAUGAGACCGGCGCACGGGUGCGUAACGCGUAUGCAAUCUACCUUUUACAGGGGAAUAGCCCAGAGAAAUUUGGAUUAAUGCCCCAUAGUAUGUAUGAAUCGCAUGGUUUAUACAUUAAAGUUCCAACGGUAAAAGAUGAGCAUGCGUCCCAUUAGUUAGUUGGUAAGGUAACGGCUUACCAAGACGAUGAUGGGUAGGGGUCAUGAGAGGGAGAUCCCCCACACUAGUACGGAGAAACGGACCAGACUCCUACGGGAGGAAGCAGUGAGGAAUAUUGGACAAUGGGCGCAAGCCUGAUCCAGCCAUGCCGCGUGCAGGAAGAAGCAUCUAUGGUGUGUAAACUGCUUUUGUACGGGAAGAAACACUCCCUCGUGAGGGAGCUUGACGGUACCGUAAGAAUAAGGAUCGGCUAACUCCGUGCCAGCCGCCGCAGUAA